rnacentral:lncRNA from 1 species
CAUGCAUCUUUGGUGUAAUACAAUUAUAUUCUUGAGGUUUGGAUUUUUUACUCUUACUUUUCUGCCCAUUAUGAUCUAACGGAAGACGUGGCAUAGAAUCGAGCACAAUGGCGUUCUAGGCUUCAUACAGUUGACCCCACUUAGUGGGAAAUGCUUUGUUGUUGUUGUUGUACUUUUAUGUCCAUUAUAUGUUUGAGCAUCUAUCUUUUGGCUUAUUAUCAAUGAAAAAUUAUUAUACGAGGAUUUUGACUAUUGACUUAUCAAUGGUAUAUUUAUUAGAAAACUAGAUUAACAUCCUUUCACAAAAUUCAAUUUUAAAAAAAACCGAGUGUAAGAUCUAAUAUUUAAUUUUGAUCCUUUGACUUUAUAUUCAACUCAGCAACUUUCCAUAUAGGAGUUAAAUAGUCAAUUAAUUAAAAGAAUUAUUUUUGUUUGUUCCUAAAUCGCCCUUUUCCUAUGAUUUAGCUAAUAAAUAUUGACUAUUAGGCCUUUGAGCUUUCAUGUUUAUUUUGAAAUCAAUAAAAACAAAUAUUUUUACUAAAUGUCUAUACGGGUUGCACAAUCAGGUCUCAUUUAUGAAGAGGAACAUGUCCAACUCACAUACACACUUCUCCUUUAUAUUAUCUCUUAUCUCUCUCAAUUGUAUAUUCUCAUGAUUCGUAUGUUUCUUGCAUUAUGGAAAAGCUAAGGCUAGCAAAUCUAUUUUUUACUUAUGAAUUGUGUUUAUUCGUGUAUGAUAAUUUUUUGUCUAUGGAGAUUGACAAGUACGUAUUUUUAAAUCUAUGAUUUGUGUACUGAUAUGAAGAUACAUGGAGUAAAGUUUGCAUACCGAAAUUACGUACCUAUGUUUAUGCCCUUAUACUUCCGUACCUAUGUCUAUGCAUUUAUACUUCCGUACCUAUGUUUAUGCCCUUAUAUUCUGUACCUAUGCCUAUGCACUUAUACUUCCGUACCUAUGCCUAUGCACUUAUACGCUUAUACUUCCGUACCUACGCCUAUGCACUUAUACUUCCGUACCUAUGCCUUUGCACUUAUACUUCCGUACCCAUGUAUAGCACUUUGUUAAUGUACUUAAAAAUUUUUAUGGGUGUUCUUCUUUUUUCUUAUGGAGAUGGGAAUUGUGUUAGUGAUGAUGUUUUGCUUUUCUUUUUUAAUGUAUUUUUGUCAUAUCUUUCACUAUUAUGUUCACAAUUAAUCAAUAUAAAAAAUUUCAUUUAUUUUCUUGCACCUAUUAGUACUUUCCAAAAAUUUUAAAAUUUUAGAAUUUUGAUUUAAGUGUAUAAAUGGGAGAUUUGAGUGUGAAAGUCAAUUUCCAAUUUUUAGCCUUAAUUAUUAAUUGAAUAUGUGGAUGGCAAGUUUGUAAAUAGUAUAUGUGAUAAAGGCAAUUAAAUAUGACAUGGCGUUAAGAUUUUAAAAUAGGGACUUAAAUUGGAUAGAGAAAACCAUGCAGGUUAUAAUCUAAAAGUAAUCUUAUUUAGGUCCUAAAAUCUAAAAGCCCCUAUAUUUAUUAAGGUUAGUUUAAGAGAGAAUAAAAGAUUUGUUUUCACAGAUGAAAUUAAUCAAAUGUCCCAGGCUCUACAGUUCAAUUCUCUCGGUAUGCACUAUGGACAUUAUUCAAGAAAUUGAUGGUUGUUUUAGCAUAGUGAGAUUGCUGUUGUGUUGUACGGUUGAAGGAUUAUGCCUUUAGUUUUCUCUUUCAUCAGUUCAAUGCUAGAAAUUGCAGUUAUCUUGACACUAUAUGCUGCGAGUAUCUUGACACACUAUAAUAGGUCUUCUUUUUGGCAAGUUUGUGUUUCUUAUUCGCAUUCAUGAUUCUGUAAUCAUUUACAUUUGCUUUUACAUGAUAUCUCAUAAAUUGGAUGUGAAUAUAUUUAUUGUAUUUUAACCUUUUUAGCCAAGCAAAUGAUUUGAUUGAUAACUUAAAGUCGAUUUCUUUUUCUUUAUGUCUACAUAUUACAGGGGCAACGAGGAUGGGGGUUGAAGUCGAACGCUUGCAUGGGACAGAUUCCAAGAUUAUUCAGUAAGUCACUGAUUUAAGUCAGAUUAAACUGCCUUCAUUUCUUUUUGUGUCCAUGGUCUAAUUUUACUUGGAUGAUUUAAUUCUAUGGGAUGAUUUAUACUGCGUUUUUUU